CACGAACGCUGGCGGCAGGCUUAACACAUGCAAGUCGAGCGCCCCGCAAGGGGAGCGGCAGACGGGUGAGUAACGCGUGGGAAUCUACCCAUCUCUACGGAAUAACGCAUGGAAACGUGUGCUAAUACCGUAUACGUCCUUCGGGAGAAAGAAUUAUCGGAGAUGGAUGAGCCCGCGUUGGAUUAGCUAGUUGGUGGGGUAAAGGCCUACCAAGGCGACGAUCCAUAGCUGGUCUGAGAGGAUGAUCAGCCACACUGGGACUGAGACACGGCCCAGACUCCUACGGGAGGCAGCAGUGGGGAAUAUUGGACAAUGGGCGCAAGCCUGAUCCAGCCAUACCGCGUGAGUGAUGAAGGCCCUAGGGUUGUAAAGCUCUUUCACCGGUGAAGAUAAUGACGGUAACCGGAGAAGAAGCCCCGGCUAACUUCGUGCCAGCCGCCGCCGUAAUAC
rnacentral:rRNA from 1 species